GAUGAACGCUGGCGGCGUGCCUAAUACAUGCAAGUCGAGCGAACAGACGAGGAGCUUGCUCCUCUGACGUUAGCGGCGGACGGGUGAGUAACACGUGGAUAACCUACCUAUAAGACUGGGAUAACUUCGGGAAACCGGAGCUAAUACCGGAUAAUAUAUUGAACCGCAUGGUUCAUUAGUGAAAGACGGUUUUGCUGUCACUAAUAGAUGGAUCCGCGCCGCAUUAGCUAGUUGGUAAGGUAACGGCUUACCAAGGCAACGAUGCGUAGCCGACCUGAGAGGGUGAUCGGCCACACUGGAACUGAGACACGGUCCAGACUCCUACGGGAGGCAGCAGUAGGGAAUCUUCCGCAAUGGGCGAAAGCUUGACGGAGCAACGCCGCGUGAGUGAUGAAGGUCUUCGGAUCGUAAAACUCUGUUAUUAGGGAAGAACAAAUGUGUAAGUAACUAUGCACGUCUUGACGGUACCUAAUCAGAAAGCCACGGCUAACUACGUG
rnacentral:rRNA from 1 species